rnacentral:lncRNA from 1 species
AAUUCAGGACAUGCAGUAUAAGAUUAAAGGUUUUGAGAGCAUAUGUGAAUUCUUGGAUUUUCUGGUCUUGGUGUUUUAGACGCCAUGACUUCAUCAACUGUUGGAUCAUCGUGAAAUUUUUACAGGAGCUUCCUAAUGUGUGAAGCUACGAUUAAAAGUAAACAAAUCGUAUCUCACUUCCAAAAUAUGAAUUUCACAAGCUUGCUGAAGUUUCCUGGCAAUAACAUGC